rnacentral:rRNA from 1 species
AACGAACGCUGGCGGCAGGCCUAACACAUGCAAGUCGAGCGAACCCUUCGGGGUUAGCGGCGGACGGGUUAGUAACGCGUGGGAAUAUACCCUUUGGUACGGAAUAGCCUCGGGAAACUGAGAGUAAUACCGUAUGUGCCCUUCGGGGGAAAGAUUUAUCGCCAAAGGAUUAGCCCGCGUUGGAUUAGAUAGUUGGUGGGGUAAUGGCCUACCAAGUCUACGAUCCAUAGCUGGUUUGAGAGGAUGAUCAGCAACACUGGGACUGAGACACGGCCCAGACUCCUACGGGAGGCAGCAGUGGGGAAUCUUAGACAAUGGGCGCAAGCCUGAUCUAGCCAUGCCGCGUGGACGAUGAAGGCCUUAGGGUUGUAAAGUCCUUUCAGAUGGGAAGAUAAUGACGGUACCAUCAGAAGAAGCCCCGGCUAACU